rnacentral:rRNA from 1 species
GAUGAACGCUGGCGGCGUGCCUAAUACAUGCAAGUCGAGCGAACAGACGAGGAGCUUGCUCCUCUGACGUUAGCGGCGGACGGGUGAGUAACACGUGGAUAACCCACCUAUAAGACUUGGAUACCUUCGGCAAACCGUAGCUAAUACCGGAUGAUCUUUUUACCUGCUUGGUUCAAGAAUGAAAGAGGGUUUUGCUGUCACUUCUAGAUGGAUCCGCGCCUCAUUAGCGAGUUGGUUAAGUAACGGCUUACCAAGGAGACGAUGCGUAACCGUGCUGAGAGGGGGAGCGGGCACGCGGGAAUGGAGAGACGGUCCAGACUCCAACGGGAGGCAGGAGUAGGGAAGGUGCCGGAGUGGGGGAAAGCUGGACGGAGCAUCGCCGCGUGAGGGAGGAAGGUCUUGGGAUCGUAAAACUCUGUUAGGAGGGAAGAACAAAUGUGUAAGUAAGUAUGCACGUCUUGACGGUACCGAAUCAGAAGGCCACGGCUAACUACGU